rnacentral:lncRNA from 1 species
AAAGACUGUCUGCACAGCAGAAAAACCCAGACUUCCCAAUGGCCUCAUCAGGGACUUCAAAUACACCAUUCCUAAUACUUCUUUUUCUGGAAAACCCAAAGUCGUAGAUGCUUCGGAUUGCCUCAAGGCAAGGCUGGAGCCGACAAUGGUCCCAAGCCUGAGUCUGAGGUGCUAGGACUGCAAGACCUAUUUCACUCAUGCUUACUGAUUACCAGCACCGGGCUUGGCAUCAAGGACAUGGGGACAGGCAUGACACACACUUGUGGGCUUAUGAGACCAGCUUGCAGACAAGAACGCAAUCACAGGAUGGGGAAUAGGGACACACUGAAGGAGGCUACGGUAUAAGUGCAACUUACAAGAACUCUAGAAGUUUUCAUAAAACUAUAUAUAUCGUGUGUGUGUGUGUGUGUGUGUGUGUGUGUGUGUGUGUGUAUAACAUUAUUUCUGGAGUUGUCCUAGUGACUGGCACUCCAAGCAGCAUUCUCCGAGGGAAUCCUGUAUGUUUGGGUCUUCCCACACUCUCCUGAUAGGAGCCAGCUGUCUUUGAACCUCCCCCCUCCACCACGCCUACCACCCACCUGCCCUCAGGCCUUGUGGAUGAAAAACCCCCUCUCCCCUGGGAGGGGACAGGGCUGGAAGGAGGUGGCCGCUGACCAGGACGCUGGGCUGAGAGCACCAAGGGGCAGAGCUCCUGAGCCCAGCUCUGGGGACAGCGCUGGGGAACUAGGAUAAGGCCUGCCAGCAGCUGCCUCUGCCAGCCCUGAGACUUUUCCUUGAGAAUUCCCCUUGGCUUUCAGUAAAGUGCCAUUUGAAGAGUCUGCCCUGUUUCUGCAGGGCUAAGGGGAAGAGGGGUGGACUGCAUCGUUGUAGGGAGAAGAGGGGCCAGGCUUGCCACCACACUCAUCUGGGGGCAGGCCUGGGGUGGCCCCCUUUCUCCUGCCUGAGGUCUUCUCAGAGGGCUGGGGGGACUCUUAUUUAGGGAGUGAAUCCCUGAUACUCUGAUAUGGCAAAAUCUCUAUUUUCAAUAUACAUUACCCCUGAAUACAAAAACAAUCAAAGCAACGGAACGUCCAGUAUUCUACAAAAUGUCACGCAAAAGACAUUCGAUGAAAGAUUCGUUCCUGGGCUUGCUCUGUUGCCUAAGUGCAAAUUCCUAACCCGUCUGGCUUUCCUCCUAAUCGUCACCAGCCGCAAGAGAGGCUGCCUGAUGGGGAGGAGCAGGUAAGUGCGAAGCUUUAGGCACUGGUGGUGGGGCGGGGCAGGGGGACAGGGGACAGAGAGGCCAGGGUGGCCUUUGCUGGUGGGGUCUGGGGAGCAGAAGGCAGUGGGCGGGCAGGGGGGAAAGCAAAGCCUGGAGGGCGGGAGUUUUCUGGCACAGCCCCCCAUCCUAUGCCAACAUUCAGGGAGCCUCUUGCCUCUGUGCUAACUUUAGCGCCUCCCCCACCUGCAAUAUAAGCGCUUAAAGGAUUAAAGUGCUUUCAGUAUCUUCUACUUGGGAACACUAACAACUCUUAGGGCGAGGGGAACGACCCCCAGGGAGGAAAUGCACCACUCUUCUGUAACUCAAAGCCAGCGUGCCCCGCGCUGGCUGGCCUCACUGGCCUCACGUGGCCUCCUCCCUACCCGCAGCAGGCGGCAGUCCUCGGUUCUGAGUCCUUCCUGCGUUUCUCAGCCUCAGGGUGAGGCUCUGCCUGGGGUCUUCUGAUGGCCAAAGAGGUCAGGGCUGUGGCCGCAAUCGAGGCCCUGGGAGGGCGGUCUUCCCACCUGAAGGGGGCUGAGCCUCGACGUCCCCAGGAAGGCCCCCCACGCAGACCGGCCGCGCCCUGGGUGCGCUGGCGGGGAGUCAGCGGCGGCUGGGCCUGGAAGGCCUGGCGGCUGUGCUCGGCCGCGGGGGGCUGGUGGCCGCCACCGC